UAACCUGGUUGAUCCUGCCAGUAGUCAUAUGCUUGUCUCAAAGAUUAAGCCAUGCAUGUCUAAGUAUAAGUUCUGUACUGCGAAACUGUGAAUGGCUCAUUAUAACAGUUAUUAUUCCCUGGCCGGUCAGUGAUUCCUUGGAUACCCAUGGUAAUUCUAGAGCUAAUACAUGCUUAAAAACCCGACUUCUUGAAGGGUUGCGCUUAUUAGAUACCGAACCAACCCAGGCUCUGUCUGGUUUUCGUUGAUUCAUAGUGUUCUGGCGAAUCGACUCGCAAGAGUCGAUGAGGCUAUCAAGUUUCUGACCUAUCAGCUUCCGACGGUAGGAUAUUGGCCUACCGUGGCUUUGACGGGUAACGGAGAAUUAGGGUUCGAUUCCGGAGAGGGAGCCUGAGAAACGGCUACCACAUCUAAGGAAGGCAGCAGGCGCGUAAAUUACCCAAUCCUGACACAGGGAGGUAGUGACAAGAAAUAUCAAUAUAAGACGUUUCUGUCUUGUAAUUGGGAUGAGCGAAACAUAAACCGCUUCUCGAGUAUCAAUUGGAGGGCAAGUCUGGUGCCAGCAGCCGCGGUAAUUCCAGCUCCAAUAGCGUAUAUUAAAAUUGUUGCGGUUAAAACGCUCGUAGUUGGAUAUCUGCCAAGGAGUUUCGGUCCUCCCCAGUGGAGAAUACGCGGAACAUUUCUUGGCACUUGUUCAGGGAAGGUGUUUGCACUUUGUUGUGCGUCACGUGAUCUGAAUUUUUACUUUGAGGAAAUGAGAGUGUUUCAAGCAGGCUUUUGCCAUGAAUAUGAUAGCAUGGAAUAAUAGCACAGGACCCCUUUCCAAAGCUGUUGGUUUUUGGAACGAGGUAAUCAUAAUAAGGACAGUUGGGGGUAUUCGUAUUUAACUGUCAGAGGUGAAAUUCUUGGAUUUUUUAAAGACGAACUAUUGCGAAGGCAUCUGCCCAGGAUGUUUUUGUUGAUCAAGAACGAAAGUUAGGGGAUCGAAGACGAUCAGAUACCGUCCUAGUCUUAACCUUAAACUAUGCCGACUGGAGAUUGGAGUCGUCAGUCCUUGACGUCUUCAGCAUCCUGAGAGAAAUCUAAGUCUUUGGGUUCCGGGGGGAGUAUGGUCGCAAGGCUGAAACUUAAAGGAAUUGACGGAAGGGCACCACCAGGAGUGGAGCCUGCGGCUUAAUUUGACUCAACACGGGGAAACUUACCAGGUCCAGACAUAGAUAGGAUUGACAGACUGAUAGCUCUUUCUUAAUUCUAUGGGUGGUGGUGCAUGGCCGUUCUUAGUUGGUGGAGUGAUUUGUCUGGUAAUUCCGUUAACGAACGAGACCUUAGCC
rnacentral:rRNA from 1 species